rnacentral:rRNA from 1 species
AUUGAACGCUGGCGGCAUGCUUUACACAUGCAAGUCGAACGGUAACAGGCCGCAAGGUGCUGACGAGUGGCGAACGGGUGAGUAAUGCAUCGGAACGUGCCCAGUCGUGGGGGAUAACGCAGCGAAAGCUGCGCUAAUACCGCAUACGAUCUCUGGAUGAAAGCGGGGGACCGAAAGGCCUCGCGCGAUUGGAGCGGCCGAUGUCAGAUUAGGUAGUUGGUGGGGUAAAGGCCCACCAAGCCAACGAUCUGUAGCUGGUCUGAGAGGACGACCAGCCACACUGGGACUGAGACACGGCCCAGACUCCUACGGGAGGCAGCAGUGGGGAAUUUUGGACAAUGGGCGCAAGCCUGAUCCAGCAAUGCCGCGUGCAGGAAGAAGGCCUUCGGGUUGUAAACUGCUUUUGUACGGAACGAAACGGUCCGGGCUAAUACCCUGGGCUAAUGACGGUACCGUAAGAAUAAGCACCGGCUAACUACGUGCCAGCAGCCGCGGUAA